GGCCUCAUAGCCUAGAGCGUGCGCUGUACAAAAGCGUAGGCCGCGUCCAUGCGUGGGUUCGAAUCCCACCGAGGCUA
rnacentral:tRNA from 1 species